rnacentral:tRNA from 1 species
AAAUAGGUGGCUGAGCGGUCAAAAGCGCCUGUUUGGAGAACAGGUAUAUCGUGGGUUCGAAUCCUGCCCUAUCCU